UAAAAUACGAUGAAGAGAAGAGUAUAUAAAAGGAAUGCAUAAGAGAGAGCCCCGGUGCUGAAAAGGGGUAUGCAGUCUUUUAUGGAACCAAGCCUCGGAGUAGCACGUUGGAUUGCAAAUGAUAGCGUGACAGGAGCUCCUGUUAUUGAGCUAAAGUAUAAGCAAAGGUCCUUUUGCCGUACUUAAAAGGUUUAUAUGGUGACAUAUAAAUAAACUGGGGUGGCACCACGGUUAUCAUUCUUAAUCUCGUCCCCAAG
rnacentral:ncRNA from 1 species